rnacentral:rRNA from 1 species
GAGUAAUCCAGGUCAGUUUCUAUCUAUGAAGGGCCCCCUCCUAGUACGAAAGGACCGGAAAGGGGAGGCCAAUGCUUCAGGCAGGCCUCACCCUUACUUGAUGAAGCCAACUAAACCAAGCAAGAGAACACACUAUCUUCAUCCCAAGAUAAUGGCAU